rnacentral:rRNA from 1 species
AACGCUGGCGGCAGGCUUAACACAUGCAAGUCGAGCGGGCGUAGCAAUACGUCAGCGGCAGACGGGUGAGUAACGCGUGGGAACGUACCUUUUGGUUCGGAACAACACAGGGAAACUUGUGCUAAUACCGGAUAAGCCCUUACGGGGAAAGAUUUAUCGCCGAAAGAUCGGCCCGCGUCUGAUUAGCUAGUUGGUGAGGUAAUGGCUCACCAAGGCGACGAUCAGUAGCUGGUCUGAGAGGAUGAUCAGCCACAUUGGGACUGAGACACGGCCCAAACUCCUACGGGAGGCAGCAGUGGGGAAUAUUGGACAAUGGGCGCAAGCCUGAUCCAGCCAUGCCGCGUGAGUGAUGAAGGCCCUAGGGUUGUAAAGCUCUUUUGUGCGGGAAGAUAAUGACGGUACCGCAAGAAUAAGCCCCGGCUAACUUCGUGCCAGCAGCCGCGGUAAUACGAAGGGGGCUAGCGUUGCUCGGAAUCACUGGGCGUAAAGGGUGCGUAGGCGG